ACUGCUUUUCACAAUUUUUAAAACCCGUAGAGGCCUCUGCGAGUCUGCGAGUCUGCGUUCUUUUUCUCUUUCUACCUCCUCAUCGUUGUUUUUAUCUUCCAUCAUCGUUCCUUGAAGCAAAUUGCGAUUGUAGAUAGACGGUUCUGAAUUGGCUAUUGCGGCUCAAGAUUGGUGAUAUAAAUCCAGUUCUGAAUUGGCGAGAAGAAGCACAUUAGUUUUUUUCUUCCCUCACGAAGCACACUGAUCCAAUCAAAACUUUUAAGCUCAACACAUACGCUCCUAUCAAGGAGGGAGUGUGUGGACUGAUUAUGGUGGUUAGGGUGGUGUGGGUGACGUCUUAAUGUCUGCAGCGAUCUGCAAGCUCGCUAAUAGGUCGGCGGAUAUGGCAGAAGCACUAGCUCUGAAAUUUGGCAUGCAGUAUGCAUUCGAUGCGGGCUUCCGUAGCAUUGAAGUGGAACCAGACGGUCUGUUUGGAAGUCGGUGGAAGUAGCCGCGGUGGUUUUUCCGACGAGGAUGGUGUGGGUUUAGUCAGUUUGAUAUUACCACUACUAAGAAUGCUCCUAUUGAACGCCUCAAACGCUGGAGGUGUAAACAGGCUAAGUCUCAGUAACAUACGUUCAAGUUUGGAUUUGAAAUUGGUGCGGUUGCAGACCUCCAGUAUCACAAAUCAUGACAUACUCUCUUCCUCUUAGGGAAGAUGUUAAGCAGGCACCCCUCUUAAGUGCAGUGGAGGCCACCUACCUAGGCCAUGAGGCGCCUUGAUCAGCCAUUGACCCUGUCAGGAUGGUGCAUAUAGUCAAGAAGUACGAACUACUUUAAAUAUGUGGAGAUUUAUAGGGCACAUAAAUAUUAGACAGGUUUUAAGAAAUAAAGCUAUCACAUAGUGAUUAUUGUGUGAGGGGGUCGAAAAAGCACGAGGCUAAUGCGUGACCUCGUCCCUCGUGGGUGUGACGAUUCUUUUUAUUCAAUCAAGUGUAAUUGGAUUUCCUGUGAGUUUACACCCAAUUGACUAGUAAUAUAGGAGUCGCCAUUCAGUUUUUAACGACAAUUAGAAAAACUGACAAAACCCGGUUAUCGUGACAUAAAGGGA